GUUGAAACACAUCUGAUCUCAUCUGAAAGCUGAUUCCAGCUACAGGUUCAUACUGUUGUAUUCUUUUAUACUGUUAUAUUCGUACAGUUUUAAAUCAUUCAGUAAAUGCAAAGUUAAACCGAUGUGUUUUUAAUCUAGAUCUAAAAGUGUCUUCUGUUGAAACACAUCUGAUCUCUUCUGAAAGCUGAUUCCAGCUACAGGUUUAAAAGUGCCCACUGUUGAAACACAUCUGAUCUCAUUUGAAAGCUGAUUCCAGCUACAGAUCUAAAAGUGUCUUCUGUUGAAACACAUCUGAUCUCUUCUGAAAGCUGAUUCCAGCUACAGGUU